AGUGUAGCCUUCUAUGGGUUCAACUGAGCUAACAGUUGAUUUUGAGAGAUAAAAGAUAUAAAUUUUAUUUUUUUUAAUUUGAGUAAAAUAAAAUUUGGUAUGGAUUUUGUUCAGUUUAGAAAUCAAAGUUCUUCGAAAAUACCAAAGAGAUCAUAGCUAGAUAGUUAUUUGGAUGAUGAUGUACUUUUUGAUUUGAAAGACAAGCAAUUUGAUAUCUUGGCA
rnacentral:lncRNA from 1 species